rfam:Glycine soja cultivar W05 scaffold2209_3, whole genome shotgun sequence.
AAGACAAGAGACAGUCAACCAGCCAAGGAUGCCUGCCAAUAAACCAAUCUAAGGGCUCCGUCUUCAUUAGAGACAAAGUCCUACAAAUGGGAAUAGCUAGGCAAGUCAUCCUUGGCUAUCCGACAUGACUCUUCAUCU